UACGGAGGGUGCGAGCAUCAAUCGGAUUUAUUGGGCGUAAAGGGCGCGUAGGCGGAAAUGAAAGUCAGAUGUGAAAUCCCGGGGCUCAACCCCGGAACAGCAUAUGAAACUCCAUAUCUAGAGGGUAGGCGGAGAAAACGGAAUUCCACAAGUAGCGGUGAAAUGCGUAGAUAUGUGGAAGAACACCGGUGGCGAAGGCGGUUUUCUAGCUUAAACCUGACGCUGAGGCGCGAAAGCAAGGGGAUCAAACAGG
rnacentral:rRNA from 1 species